rnacentral:rRNA from 1 species
UGGGGAAUAUUGGACAAUGGGGGCAACCCUGAUCCAGCCAUGCCGCGUGUGUGAAGAAGGCCCUCGGGUUGUAAAGCACUUUCAGCGAGGAAGAACGCCUAGCGGUUAAUACCCAUUAGGAAAGACAUCACUCGCAGAAGAAGCACCGGCUAAUUCCGUGCCAGCAGCCGCGGUAAUACGGAGGGUGCAAGCGUUAAUCGGAAUUACUGGGCGUAAAGCGCGCGUAGGUGGCUUGAUAAGCCGGUUGUGAAAGCCCCGGGCUCAACCUGGGAACGGCAUCCGGAACUGUCAAGCUAGAGUGCAGGAGAGGAAGGUAGAAUUCCCGGUGUAGCGGUGAAAUGCGUAGAGAUCGGGAGGAAUACCAGUGGCGAAGGCGGCCUUCUGGACUGACACUGACACUGAGGUGCGAAAGCGUGGGUAGCAAACAGGAUUAGAUACCCCAGUAGUCCCUGAGCGGGCUGGCAAGGCGCAU